rnacentral:rRNA from 1 species
UACGAAGGGUGCAAGCGUUACUCGGAAUUACUGGGCGUAAAGCGUGCGUAGGUGGUGAGUUAAGUCUGUCGUGAAAGCCCCGGGCUCAACCUGGGAAUGGCGAUGGAUACUGGCUCGCUAGAGUGCGGUAGAGGAGAGUGGAAUUCCCGGUGUAGCAGUGAAAUGCGUAGAGAUCGGGAGGAACAUCAGUUGCGAAGGCAGCUUGCUAGCCUGUAACUGACGCUGAGGCACGAAAGUGUGGGGAUCAAACAGG